rnacentral:lncRNA from 1 species
AAACAUAGUUUGAAAAUGUUAAUGAUAAAACUUUUGAAAUUUUUUAUUAUUAUUGAUAGAUCAUCUAGAAUAGUAAUUCUCAACAUGGCUAUAUGGUUUCCCAGGGAGCCACAGAAACUAAGAAAUUCAAAAGGAGGAGCCAUGAAAAAAAGAUUGAGAAAUACUAAUCUAGAUUCAUCUCUUAUCUACAUGCUAUUUUUAGUGAAGAAAUUAUAUGCUUUUUAUUUUUAUAGACACAAAACGUAUCCUUUAAUUUCAUUAAUUUAAUAAGAUAAUAUUACUGAUGCUAAAAGCAUUAAGUCAUGUAAGAAAAAC